UCGAACGGGAUCCGGCCGGGCUUUGCUUGGCUGGUGAGAGUGGCGAACGGGUGAGUAAUGCGUGACCAACCUGCCCCAUGCACCGGAAUAGCUCCUGGAAACGGGUGGUAAUGCCGGAUGCUCCGCACCUUCGCAUGGGGGUGUGGGAAAUGCUUUUGCGGCAUGGGAUGGGGUCGCGUCCUAUCAGCUUGUUGGCGGGGUGACGGCCCACCAAGGCGUUGACGGGUAGCCGGCCUGAGAGGGUGACCGGCCACAUUGGGACUGAGAUACGGCCCAGACUCCUACGGGAGGCAGCAGUGGGGAAUAUUGCACAAUGGGCGCAAGCCUGAUGCAGCGACGCCGCGUGCGGGAUGGAGGCCUUCGGGUUGUAAACCGCUUUUGUUCAAGGGCAAGGCGGGUCUUCGGGCCCGUUGAGUGGAUUGUUCGAAUAAGCACCGGCUAACUACGUGCCAGCAGCCGCGGUAAUACGUAGGGUGCAAGCGUUAUCCGGAUUUAUUGGGCGUAAAGGGCUCGUAGGCGGUUCGUCGCGUCCGGUGUGAAAGUCCAUCGCUUAACGGUGGAUCCGCGCCGGGUACGGGCGGGCUUGAGUGCGGUAGGGGAGACUGGAAUUCCCGGUGUAACGGUGGAAUGUGUAGAUAUCGGGAAGAACACCAAUGGC
rnacentral:rRNA from 1 species